rnacentral:lncRNA from 1 species
GCCAGGGUUCUGAGGUCAAGCUGAGGUUCCAGGGACCCCAUGGACCACCUGCAGCAGGGACAGAUGCUGCUGCAGGAUGGCCCCUCACCCUCUCUUCGGGGGCCCAGCCCCCUGUUCCUUGUCCUUUAGUCCCCAUGCAAGCAGGCCCUCCCCUCCCCUCGGGCCUCUCCCGAGCAGGGCACAGGAGGUGUGGCCAGUCACUGCACCUGGACUCCCAGCCCUUGCUUGCUCAGGAAGCUUGGUGGCUGGUGGCAGGGGCUGUGGUGGCACCAGGCAGCCAGGCAGAAGAUGCGGGUGUGAC